rnacentral:tRNA from 1 species
GUCGGCGUAGCUCAGUCGGUAGAGCAUAUCACUCAUAAAGAUAAGGUCACAGGUUCGAUCCCUGUCGUCGACACAA